GCCAGGCAUGUGGUGCAUACCUGUCAUCCCAACUACCUGGGAGGCUGAGACAGGAGGAUCGCAGGAUUCUAGUCCAGCCUGGACGACUUAGCAAGACCCUGUCUCAA
rnacentral:sRNA from 1 species